CAGCUUACUUUAAUCAUUCUGUAUGAUCCCAAACAUGAGACAUGGCGUUGUCAUAACUGAAAGUGGUGUCUAAAUUGUGCUUCUUGAAACGGUAACAUUUAUUUUUAAAUGUAAUUUUUUUGGUCCUUAUUAUGACUGUUUCUACGAAUACCUACGCGUCAGCGGCACUACUUAUAACUAUGCAUGGCGGCUGCUAGUUAGUUGGCUUGCCCUGCUGUAUUCAUUCCACUGAUACAAUAAUACAAUAUAGCAUAGUCUUGGCUUUAUAACUAGCUCAUUGUAACUUUAUCGCGUAUAUCCCGGUGUAUGCCUUAAACAUUGUGUCUGAUGUUUAAAAAAAAGUGUAGUGCUACACUGCCCCCAGAGGGACCCAGGCAUUAUGUAGUGAGCUAACUGUUAGUUGGGUAACGUUAGCAAAGCGAGUAGUUAACUAGCUAGUUGUAACUACCAAUUAGCUAACUAGACAUUACUUGCCAUGAUUUAGAGACACUGACAAGUGUUCAACCUUUCUACCAUAUUUGGUUAAUCUCUUCUAUGAACUCACUCAUGGUGAAGGAAGUUCCCGAUGACUCCAACGGAGUGGCGCAGAGACCAGGCAGCAGGCUUUGUGGAAUCUUCUGACUACAUGAUUCGCCCAAGGUCAAUAUUUAAAAAGUAGUUAUGGAACGCUUAAUAAACCUUGUACAGAUAUUUGUUCUCUGUAGUUGCAUGCCUUUAUUAGCUGAAAUCCAUACUUUUUCAAUAAACGUUCAUGAACCACAACAGACUGUCCUUGUUGAGAUUCAAUUGGCAUUUGAGCAGAGUUGUCAUCUUAAAGCAACAGAAAUGAGCAAACAGUCAGUUGUAUUUUAUUGUUUAUUGAAAAAGUAUGGAUUUCAGCAAGCUGCUUCAGAGGACCAAUAUGGUAGGUGAUACAAAAUGUGUCAUUCUGAAAGUAUUGACAUUGGGCAAAUCGAUGUAGUUGGAGCAAAAUUCCACAAAGCCUGGUCUCUGCUCCACUGUUGGAGUCAUCAGAAACGUCCUUCGCUGUGUAGUUUAGUCAGCUAACUAACUACAUGUCCUGAAUUUUUGGAUACACACCCAGAAUCAGAAAUGUAUUUGAUUUACCCAGUGGGUCAAUUCAGUUGAGGUAGCCAGCAUUCCAAGUAACUUUAGCUGCCGUAUGACCAUUAUCUUUACACGCCAUGGAGGAAGUCUCAACGGCACAGCUGAUGCCUGUUAACCUUUCUUGCAUGUAACGUCAACUUGAGCGGUCUGUUAAACAGCUGACGGCCAUGUUUUUCUCCACCCCUCCAGAUGCUGAUGCCGAAGAAGAAUCGUAUAGCCAUCUACGAGCUCCUCUUCAAGGAGGGAGUGAUGGUGGCAAAAAAAGGAUGUACAUCUGGCUAAGCACCCGGAGCUGGCCAAUAAGAAUGUGCCCAACCUUCACGUUAUGAAGGCCAUGCAGUCUUUGAAGUCAACUGGGUAUGUGAAGGAGCAGUUUGCCUGGCGCCACUUCUACUGGUACCUGACCAAUGAGGGCAUCCAGUACCUGAGGGACUUCCUGCAUCUGCCCCCAGAGAUUGUUCCUGCCACUCUGCGUCGCCAGAUGCGCCCUGAGACCACUAGGCCCAGGCCUAAAGGUAUGGAGGGUGAGAGAGCUGAGAGGCCAGCCAGGUUUAACCGUGAAGGAGGCGACCGAGACAACUACAGACGUUCUGUUGCACCACCUGGUGCAGACAAGAAGGCUGAAGCAGGUGCUGGUGCAGCUACUGAGUUCCAAUUUAGAGGAGGUUUUGGACGUGGUCGAGGACAGCAACCACCACAGGAGUAAAGCAGACUGUUCUUGUACAGUAUAAUAAAAGGUGAUUGAGAUUACACCAAUGUGUCAUGAAUUUAAUUGCAUGAGAUGUCAGUGCUCAUUAUCAUAAGAUGUAUACACUUGAAUUUGUAGGUGGUAAUGACUAAGCUUAUUUUCAAAGUAGGUUAAUUUACGAACGAAUUGCUCCAUCAGCUGAAAGAAACCAAAAGAGAACUGAAAUACUGGUGUUUUUAUUAAUUGGCACAAUUCAUUUUACAUUCAGGCUUACACUUUGUACCCAUUGAAGAAAUCUGAGUUGACAACAUGGAGAUGUUUAGCCAUAUAAUUGCAAGGCCAAUUGAACAAUGAACAAAUGCCUGUCUGGACCAUUGCACGUAACGACUAACAAUUUCUGAACACCAGUCUUCAAGAAAUAUUAUCUCAUUUGAUUUAUCCUGUUAAGACCCUUAACCUUACCAGUAAACUGAAGUAAUCAAGAAUGGGGAAACACUGAUAACUACCAUCACCUGGUUAGAUGACCCAGUACAUGGCACAACCUCAUGACAGGCCUCAAGACAUUGGCAUACUGAGGAAAAUAAUGAAAUUCCUACUGGCCCUAUAGUGGGGAAAAAAAGCCAUGUAUGUCAUUUCGUCCUGGUGCGACAUUAUGACUACCAUGAGUAGGCCUAACCCUUUCUAUUUUUACAUGUGCCAUAGGCAAGUAGUCAA